rnacentral:rRNA from 1 species
UAAGGUCACGGCGAGACGAGCCGUUUAUCAUUACGAUAGGGGUCAAGUGGAAGUGCAGUGAUGUAUGCAGCUGAGGCAUCCUAACAGACCGAGAGAUUUGAAC